CAAGAUGGCUCUAUGAGCUGGCCAUACUCAGUAGUCAGAGUGAAACCGGCCAUGUAAAAACGACAAAGCAUAGGAUUCAGUGUAGGAGCUUGGGCCCCGUGGUAUCAGUUGACUUACAGACUGAGUUCAACCACAUGGGCAACAUAUUAAUCAAUCAUACCUAUGCAAUAAAGUCUUCAUAAAAACUAUGGACAACAAAGUUCUGGUGAGCAUCAUGGGUUGGCAACACUCCAGAGUGUUCAGAAAUAUCAAAUAUGAGCUGAAUAAGUAGUGGAAAGACAAGGAUUCAUCCGUUCCACAGACUACAAACCUGGCCGAUAGAGGGAAUAUUUCAUUUUAGAUCAAAUGAUUCACUGUCAUCUUUGUCUGAUAUUACAACAUAGUGACCACACAACUAUCCUCAAUGGUAUUUGACUACAUGGAUUCUGUAAAAAGAUGAAGCUUAAGAACACUAUUUUUUUUCAAGUGCAAUAUACUGUAGUCAUAAGAUGAAUGGGGUCUUGUCCAUAUAUCUACAUGAAAUUUAGAUAAAGCAAGCAAUGUGAAGAACACAUAAUCUCACAUUUUGCAUGUCACACUAUAAAUUCUAUACCAGGUUGUACUUCAUUUUUGCCCUGUUUUUCUCUACCAAAGGGAAACAAAUGAGGAGAGUUCACCAUAUUUGUUUAUUUAUUUAACAUUUGAAAAUCAUAAUCACAGAGUUGAACUUCAUAUUCCUUGGUGUGCUUCAUGUAGCACACCCAAGAUAUAGGUGAGUGGUGGCUUUUUUAUAGGAGAAAUUACAAAGCUUUUUUUCCUACAUCUGAAAACUCACAUCUGAAGUUUUAAAAUGUGUACCUCUCUAAAAGAUACAAUUGCUUUGUCCUCACCUGUGUGAUGAGGUUAGAUGUUGCCAUUCUGUGAAAAGCAAAACCUCAUACCAGAUGUAUUUUGAAUGAAUCCUUGAUUCACAAUGGAAGUUGCUCACAGCUAAAAUGAAAUAUGUGUUGCCUUCUCUCUAGUUUGUUUUCUCAGAUUUCUAAACACAAAGACAAAAAAGGACAGAAAACACUUUGUAUUUGCUAUAACCUUGAGAAUCAGUCCUAAGAGUUAGAUGUCAAAUUGUUGAAUUACUUGCUCUUAUUAUCCUCUAACUAUUCCAUAUUCUUUUAAUUGACUCAGUGUUGUAAAGAUAAACGCCUUGGGUUACGCAUAACACAGAACACAGCACAACAUAAUGCAAUUUCAUAAAGGAUCUUCUGUAAUUGCUUAUCACACGUGGCUGUGCAUGACAGAUAGAAACAAUAAAAGAACAAAUGGAAAAUAUUAGGCCAAACCUUAUUACUGAGAUAAUAUUUGAAACAAUCUUGAAAUACUUUUUGAUACACAUUGUCCAUAUGUAAGCCUUGUGAAUGAUUGCAGUUUCUCAAAUCUAUCUGGUUGUAUAUUGGAAAUGGUGGGGAGCAACUAGUAAAGGGGCUAACUUUGCAAAUAAGAAUUCUGAGUGUUACAAGAAGACAAGCAACUGAUUUAAAAUAAAAGUUGGUAUUCAAGGAA
rnacentral:lncRNA from 1 species